rnacentral:tRNA from 1 species
GCCGGUGUAGCUCAGUUGGCUAGAGCACCUGACUGUGGAUCAGGAGGCCGCGGGUUCGAGUCCCGCCGCCGGUA